UACAGAGGUCUCAAGCGUUGUUCGGAUUCAUUGGGCGUAAAGGGCGCGUAGGCGGCUUUGUAAGUCCGUUGUGAAAUCCCUCGGCUCAACCGAGGAACUGCGACGGAUACUGCUUGGCUUGAGUCCCGGAGAGGGUAGCGGAAUUCCCAGUGUAGCGGUGAAAUGCGUAGAUAUUGGGAGGAACAUCGGUGGCGAAGGCGGCUACCUGGACGGGUACUGACGCUGAUGCGCGAAAGCUAGGGGAGCAAACAGG
rnacentral:rRNA from 1 species